AGUCCCGCCACGGGUCCAGCAUUCCUGUCACCCAAAAGCAGUUUCUCCAUCACACGGACAUUAUUCCCGGAAUAAUGCACUGGAAAAGCUUCCAGUCCCUGGUUCUCUCCUCCCUGCCGGACCCCUCCAAGAUGGAGACCACAAAGAGCUGCGAUUCCUUCAAUUCAUUUAUGCUUCCGAUAGACGUCCCUGCCAUCCUUGAUGCCUUACCAGAAGAGGACAGACUAGAAACAGUAGAACGGAGCACCUGGAUCUGCUGCUGUAUCUGUGACGACAGAGUCGGGGUAUAGCACAAAGAAGGCCACCAGCCCUGCAUGACAAGAGCUCCGGCACAUUAGGAAGACUCUUGGUCCCAGAGUUCCUCCCUACCCGCUAUUUCCUGAACUCCUGUUACUGAAGACCCAUUCCUUUAGCUUUGCGCUUUGUUUCUAUUAAACUACCUCUGGGGAG
rnacentral:lncRNA from 1 species